rnacentral:rRNA from 1 species
UACGGAGGGUGCAAGCGUUAUCCGGAUUCACUGGGUUUAAAGGGUGCGUAGGCGGGUAAGUAAGUCCGUGGUGAAAUCUCUGAGCUUAACUCAGAAACUGCCGUGGAUACUAUUUGCCUUGAAUAUUGUGGAGGUGAGCGGAAUAUGUCAUGUAGCGGUGAAAUGCUUAGAUAUGACAUAGAACACCAAAUUGCGAAGGCAGCUCACUACACAAUCAUUGACGCUGAGGCACGAAAGCGUGGGGAUCAAACAGG